GAUGAACGCUGGCGGCAUGCCUUACACAUGCAAGUCGAACGGCAGCACGGGUGCUUGCACCUGGUGGCGAGUGGCGAACGGGUGAGUAAUACAUCGGAACGUACCUUAUCGUGGGGGAUAACGCAGCGAAAGCUGUGCUAAUACCGCAUACGCCCUGAGGGGGAAAGCGGGGGAUCGCAAGACCUCGCGCGAUUAGAGCGGCCGAUGCCUGAUUAGCUUGUUGGUGGGGUAAAAGCCCACCAAGGCGACGAUCAGUAGCUGGUCUGAGAGGACGAGCAGCCACACUGGGACUGAGACACGGCCCAGACUCCUACGGGAGGCAGCAGUGGGGAAUUUUGGACAAUGGGGGCAACCCUGAUCCAGCAAUGCCGCGUGAGUGAAGAAGGCCUUCGGGUUGUAAAGCUCUUUUGUCAGGGAAGAAACACCGGCUCUAACACAGUCCGGGAAUGACGGUACCGUAAGAAUAAGCACCGGCUAACUACGUGCCAGCCGCCGCCGUAA
rnacentral:rRNA from 1 species